rnacentral:lncRNA from 1 species
CUGUUGCGGGGUUUUCACCCCGGUAACAGUCCGCACACCAGCCGAGCAGGAAAAGCGACUGCGUCCUCACCGAGGUAUUGUCCGCUCUGGGGAUCGGGGAUCGUCGACCGCUCCCGAGGAUCCAUCCUCUGGUGGCGCCCCGGGUGGAACCACCCUUUCCACCCUCACGGUUUUGCCCCCCAAAAGGCACCUCGGUGAGAAGAGGUUAUUGAACCCCCCAUUUAAGGCACAGACCUUUCCGC